UUAAGCGUACGGUGGAUGCCCGGCAACAGAGGAUAAGGGACGUGCUAACUGCGAUAAGCGUCGGUAAGGUGAUAUGAACUGUUAUAAACUGGCGAUUCGAAUAGAAACCCAGUGUGUUUCGACACACUAUCAGCCGAAUCAACCAGCGGUUAAUGAGGCAGCGUGAACCGUGAACUUUGUUAAUUCUCUGAGCGAACAACCAGAUUCCGUAGCGGCGAGCGAACGGGAGGAGCCCAGUCUGAAUCCAGUAUAAGCAGCGGGCUGUCUGCGAUACAGGCGACGUUCACACAAAACAAUACGCUGUGAGCCUGAUGAGUAGGGCGGGACAUCGGUAUCCGUACAUAAAUCCAUCCUCCAAGGCUAAAUAAUUCCUGACUGACCGAUAGUGUCCAGCACGAGGGAAAGGCGAAAGAACCCCAUGAGGGAGGAAAAGAACUCAGAAACCGCGUAAUGCAUAAGCAGGGAGCACGCUUAGCGUGACUGCGUACCUUUUGUAUAAUACGCGACUUAUAUUCUGUAAAGUAAAGGUUAACCAAUAGGGAGCUGAAGGAAACCGAGUCUUGGAAUUAAGCAAGUUAAGUUGCAGGUAUAGACCCUUGUUCCGGGUGACUGCCAUGGCAGGUUGAAGGUUGGGUAACACUAACUGGAGUGACCGAACCGACUAAUGGCACCAAGGACGAAUUUGUGGCUGGGGUGAAAGGCCAACCCAAACUGGGAGAUAGCUGGCUUCCCGAAAGCUAUUUAGGUAGCGUGAAUCUGGCAGCACCGUUUCAGUAGUGGGGUCAACCUGACUUACCAACCCGAUGCAAACCUGCGAAUACCAAAUUUAUCAUUGGCCACACGGCGGGUGCUAACCGUCGAAGAGGGAACAAACCCAGACCGCCAGCUAAGGUCCCAAAGUCAAGUGGUUAUGGAAAUGAUGUGGGUACGCCCAGACAGCCGUGAUGUUACCGAAGCAGCCAUCAUUUAAAGAAGCGUAAUAGCUCACUUAAUUAUCGGCCUGCGGAAGAUGGGGUCAGCCAAAACCAUAAAAACGAAGUUGCGUUAUAUGUGUCAGGUUGGGUAGAAGGUUCUGUAAGCCCGUGGAAGGUAAAAGGAGUGCAGCGCUGGAGGCGGUGAAUAAGCGCGAAUGCUGACAUAAGUAACGAUAAAGGGUGAAAAGCCCGCUCGCCGGAAGACCGCGUCCAUCCAACGUUAAUCGGGCAGGGUGAGUCGACCCUAAGGCGAGGCUGAAAGGCGUAGUCGAUGGGAAACAGGUUGCAUUCCGUACGCAGGGCUACUUCGCGAAGGGCACGGCUAUGCAAGUUACUAAGCGACGGUCAUCCCGGUUUAAGGUGUAGGCUGGUUUUCCGCAAACUGGAAACGUUUGAAAGGCGAUGACAGAGGGCACUACAAACAGCUGUUAAAAUGCCCUGCUUCCGGUGAAAGCCCCAAGCAUCGUGCAAACAUCAAAUCAAAAUUCCCAAACCGACACAGGUAUACCGGUAGAGAAUGUUUGAGAGAACCUGAAGUGAAGGAAAUAGUGCGCCGGUGCCGUAACUCUGAGCACGCUGAUAUGUAGGUGAAGUCCCGCGGAUGGAGCUGAAAUCAGUCGAAGAUACCCAGCUGGCUGCAAAUUGCUUUAUUAAAAACAAUGUUAACUUGUGCAAAAACGAAAGCGACGCAUAAUGGUGUGACGCCCGUCUGGUGCCGGAAGGUUAAUCGAUGGGCUAUGCAAGCGAAGCUCUGAUCGAAGCCCCGGUAAACGAAGCGGCCGUAACUAUAACGGUCCGCGGUAGAGUCUUUUGGUAUCGGUAAGUUCCACCUGCAACAGAAUGGCGUAAUGAUACGUGCCGGUUCCCGUCUGAGACUCAGUGGAAAUUUAACCGUGAAGAUGAAGUGCGCCCGCAAGCACUGUUGACCCCGUGAACUUUACCAUAGCUUGACACUCCGGAACAUUGAGCCUUGAUGUGGUAGGAUAGGUGGAAUGGCGGACGCUAAGUCCAGCGUGGAUGGAAUCUUUAAAAUACCAAUCUUUAAUGUUUGAUGUUCUAACGUUACCCGUAAUCCGGCGGUAUAGCAACGGCGGGUAGUUUGGAUUCAGCGGCCCUCCCAAAAGAGCAACGGAGGAGCACGAAGGUUACUAAUCCCGCCGGCAUCAGGAGUGGUUAGUGCAAUGGUAUUAAGCCAGCUUGACUUUCGCGAGCGACGUGGCGCGAGAAAGGAAAGCAAAAUCGUAGUAUCCGCUGGUGGUCUGGAAUUGAAGGCCAUCGUCAAACGGAUAAAAGGUAACUGGGGAUAACAGGGCCGAUACCGCCCAAGAGUUCAUAUCGACGGCGUGCGUUUGCACCUCGAUGUCGGCUCAUCACAUCCUAAAGCUGAAGUAGGGUCCUGGCGGUACAUUGUUCGCCAUUUAAAGUGGUACGCGAGUCAGCCAUCGUGACAGUUCUUGUCCCUUCGUCGCGCUGAGAACGAGGGCUGCUCCAGUGCACGAGAUAAUUUAUGUGGACGCAUCACUGGUGUUCGCUAAUGCGCCAAUGAAAACGCCCGGUAGCUAAAUCGCGGAAGAGCGUUAAACGGCAUCGAAACUUGCCCUCUGAGAUGAGUUCUCCCUGACUCCUCGAGUCCCGAAGGAACGUUGAAGAAUACGACGUUGAUAGGCUGAAGCGCAGCGAUGUUGAGAUUAACCGGCGUCAAUGAACCGUGAGGCUUAACCUUACAACGCCGAAGC
rnacentral:rRNA from 1 species